GCCGGGCACGGUGGCGCGCGCCUGCAAUCCCAGCUACUCGGGAGGCUGAGGCAGAAGAAUCACUUGAACCCAGGAGGUGGAGGCUGCAGUGAGCUGAGAUCCCGCCACUGCACUCCAGCCUGGGUGACAGCGUGAGACUCUGUCUCAA
rnacentral:SRP_RNA from 1 species